UGAGAAAUUUUAUUUUAAGCCAAAGAUUGUUUGUAGAUCAUAGAUUUAUUGAGAAUAUUUACACAUCAUAUAUUGAUGUAUAUAACAUUAAUGAAUGAGAAAGACUGAUCAUUUUAAACAAAUAAUCAAUAUAAAUUACAUGAGUCAAAGUAGAGUUUGAUAAUUAUAUAUACUGUACAUUAACUAGAUAUACUUGAAAAUUACUUUCUAAUUUCCACUAUGUCAUGAAUCAUAAGAUCCUUCUACUAGGACACACAUUUGUACUGAAAGAUCUGCUUGAUCCGUUUAAUCUACUCGAUCCACUAUGUCUGUGGUACGCUUUCUCUAUUCAAAGCCUAUAUUUGCUAGAUUUUGAUUACUUUGCUAGGACCACAACUUCAAUAAAACAUCAGAUGACUUUUCACAUAUUGUAUUUGAAACAAAUUAAGAUGUUAAAAACUAUAAAUAAAUAAAUUAAAAAGAACCAAGUGAAUAAAACUAAAUCAAAA
rnacentral:sRNA from 1 species